AUUGAACGCUGGCGGCAUGCCUUACACAUGCAAGUCGAACGGUAACAGGUCUUCGGAUGCUGACGAGUGGCGAACGGGUGAGUAAUACAUCGGAACGUGCCCGAUCGUGGGGGAUAACGGAGCGAAAGCUUUGCUAAUACCGCAUACGAUCUACGGAUGAAAGCAGGGGACCGCAAGGCCUUGCGCGGACGGAGCGGCCGAUGGCAGAUUAGGUAGUUGGUGGGAUAAAAGCUUACCAAGCCGACGAUCUGUAGCUGGUCUGAGAGGACGACCAGCCACACUGGAACUGAGACACGGCCCAGACUCCUACGGGAGGCAGCAGUGGGGAAUUUUGGACAAUGGGCGAAAGCCUGAUCCAGCCAUGCCGCGUGCAGGAUGAAGGCCUUCGGGUUGUAAACUGCUUUUGUACGGAACGAAAAGACUCUUUCUAAUAAAGAGGGUCCAUGACGGUACCGUAAGAAUAAGCACCGGCUAACUACGUG
rnacentral:rRNA from 1 species